rnacentral:rRNA from 1 species
AAGGGUGAAAUCGGGUUAUUUUUUUUAAAUAUUAUACUUAAAUUGAAGCUAAGAAUUUUUAGAUUUAAACUAGGAUUAGAUACCCUAUUAUACUAAAAGGAUUGAUAAAUUGACCAGAUUAUUAAUAGAUAUGUUCUUUAAAUUUAAAGAAUUUGGCGGUGAUUUAGUCUUGUCAGAGGAACCUGUUUUUGAAUCGAUACACCACGCAGAAUCUUACUCAAGCCUAUAUACCAUCAUUAGCAGAUAAUUUUAAAAGAAAUAAUUAUUGCAAUUUAUGUAGUUAAAUUAAAUUAGAUCAAGGUGUAGCUUAUAAGUGAGUUAAAAUGGGUUACAAUAAAAUUUAUUUAUUACGUAAUAAUUAUUAAAAGGAGGAUUUGAUUGUAUGUAAGUUUAAUAUGCUUAAGAGAUAUUAGCUCUAAAUCAUGUACAUAUCGCCCGUCGCUUUC